UAGACAUCAAAACUGAUGUUUGAACCAGGUCAAAUAGACAUCAAAACUGAUGUUUGAACCGGGUCAAAUAGACAUCAACACUGAUGUUUGAACCAGGUCAAAUAGACAUCAAAACUGAUGUUUGAAUCAGGUCAAAUAGACAUCAACACUGAUGUUUGAACCAGGUCAAAUAGACAUCAAAACUGAUGUUUGAACCGGGUGAAAUAGACAUCAACACUGAUGUUUGAACCAGGUCAAAUAGACAUCAAAACUGAUGUUUGAACCGGGUCAAAUAGACAUCAACACUGAUGUUUGAACCAGGUCAAAUAGACAUCAAAACUGAUGUUUGAACCGGGUCAAAUAGACAUCAAAACUGAUGUUUGAACCGGGUUAAAUAGACAUCAACACUGAUGUUUGAACGAGGUCAAAUAGACAUCAAAACUGAUGUUUGAAUCAGGUCAAAUAGACAUCAAAACUGAUGUUUGAACCGGGUCAAAUAGACAUCAAAACUGAUGUUUGAACCGGGUUAAAUAGACAUCAACACUGAUGUUUGAACGAGGUCAAAUAGACAUCAAAACUGAUGUUUGAACCGGGUCAAAUAGACAUCAACACUGAUGUUUGAACCAGGUCAAAUAGACAUCAAAACUGAUGUUUGAAUCAGGUCAAAUAGACAUCAAAACUGAUGUUUGAACCGGGUCAAAUAGACAUCAACACUGAUGUUUGAACCAGGUCAAAUAGACAUCAAAACUGAUGUUUGAAUCAGGUCAAAUAGACAUCAACACUGAUGUUUGAACCAGGUCAAAUAGACAUCAAAACUGAUGUUUGAACCGGGUCAAAUAGACAUCAACACUGAUGUUUGAACCAGGUCAAAUAGACAUCAAAACUGAUGUUUGAACCAAGUCAAAUAGACAUCAACACUGAUGUUUGAACCAGGUCAAAUAGACAUCAAAACUGAUGUUU